UAGUCGCUUGAGAUUUUCACUUCUGUAGGAGACAUAAUCUGAAACAAUAAAUAACUUUGUCGCUUUUGGGUUUCUUAGUCAGAUAAUCAUGCACUCUUGAGUUAUACUCUUCGUGUGUUGUAUCAUAUAAAAUCUAUCACCACUGUUUAUGAUUGUUGGAUUAUAAUGAAAAAAUGAAUCUCAAAUUUCUUAGCAUUCUCUUUGUUUUUUGUCUCUUUGGUAACAAAUACCUAUUCCUCUCUGGCCAAAUUAUAAGUAUUCAGUCAUCUGGUUGAACUAUACAAAUUUAGUCUCUUUGUUACGGCUGAGAGAUCUUGUGUUAAUAUCCCAGUUACCAAGUGAAGCCAGCAGCAAUCAACAGCAAGUCCCUCCUGCAUUCCUGAACUUUUCAAUGUCGCAAAAAGAGGAAACACUCAAAGAACUUGUUAGGGACAAAUGGCUGUGCCACCCAAAUGAGGGAAACAUCGGACUUGGUAUAAGAACUCUUCUUGAUCUGCGCAGUUGGUUCAAGAACAAUGAUAUUCCUUCCUGCGAGGUCUGCAAUGAAUUUGGAGUAAAGGUCUGCAUUCUGAAGAAACCUGAUAGGAAUUACUAUUCACACUGUGAUGAUAAUACUUGCUGAUGCUUUGUUUUCUAACUCUUGUUUCCAGGCGGAUUUGUGUCCUAACGAAGGUUGCACUGUCCGGAUACACAUGUACUGCCUGAGAGACUUGUCAUCUCCAAAGGUACGCAUAGGUUGUUUAGAUUUUUGUCAACCCCAAUAGUAUUUUAUACUUUCUGAUCGCAUAAAAACUGCAGGAUGUUAAUCUUUGCUCUGGUUGCGGGAAGCCAUGGCCUUUGGGUACCAUUACGAAAGUAGAAGCUGUUGAAGAAGCAGCGGCUGAUGGGAUAUUAUCCUUGAAUCCUUCAGCUGGUGAACUUGACUGGAAGAAGGCUGAACACACUCUUAAAAACCGGAAAAUCCAGACGUUACACGAUGAUAAAGUGUACACGGUAUUUGGUCUAACUAAAGAUCAUUGCAAUGAACAAAGGUUUAUUAGAAAGUCUACGAACGGAAACGGGGAAUCCGAGGAGGUUGAGAUCACAGUGUAUAAAUAUUUCACUGAAGUGUUGGGAAUUAACCUGGAAUAUUCAGGUGAUUAUCCUUGUCUACGUGCUGGCGGCUCUAACCACCCGAUUUACUUACCGAUUGAGGUCUGUUUUCCCCUCUAUCCUAUAAUCGAUUUCAUUCUCACAAUCCAAAGUGCUUCAGGGAUAUCUGAAGUUGAUUGGCACAAGGUUGAAGUGGUUCUAAAAGGUUUGGAAGUUCGGGUAACUUCAGACCAUAAUCGAGUGUACACGAUCUGUGGAUUAAGUGAAGAUACUUGCGAGAAUCAAAAGUAUGUCAAAUAUUUUAACAUUCUUUGCUAAAUUCUCCGAGUUUGUUAUAUGGUUAUUCUCUGAGUUUGCUAUAAGGUUAUUUAUUUGUUUGA